UACGAGGGGGCAAGCGUUGUUCGGAAUUAUUGGGCGUAAAGGGCGCGUAGGCGGUUUGACAAGUCUGAUGUGAAAUCUCUGGGCUCAACCCAGAGUCUGCAUUAGAAACUGUCGGGCUUGAGUAUGGGAGAGGUGAGUGGAAUUUCCGGUGUAGCGGUGAAAUGCGUAGAUAUCGGAAGGAACACCUGUGGCGAAAGCGGCUCACUGGACCAUAACUGACGCUGAGGCGCGAAAGCUAGGGGAGCAAACAGG
rnacentral:rRNA from 1 species